GACGAACGCUGGCGGCGUGCUUAACACAUGCAAGUCGAACGGUAAGGCCCUUCGGGGUACACGAGUGGCGAACGGGUGAGUAACUCGUGGGCGAUCUGCCCUGCACUUCGGGAUAAGCCUGGGAAACUGGGUCUAAUACCGGAUAGGACCACUGCCUGCAUGGGUGGUGGUGGAAAGCUUUUGCGGUGUGGGAUGGGCCCGCGGCCUAUCAGCUUGUUGGUGGGGUGAUGGCCUACCAAGGCGACGACGGGUAGCCGGCCUGAGAGGGUGACCGGCCACACUGGGACUGAGAUACGGCCCAGACUCCUACGGGAGGCAGCAGUGGGGAAUAUUGCACAAUGGGCGCAAGCCUGAUGCAGCGACGCCGCGUGAGGGAUGACGGCCUUCGGGUUGUAAACCUCUUUCAGCACCGACGAAGCGCAAGUGACGGUAGGUGCAGAAGAAGGACCGGCCAACUACGUGCCAGCAGCCGCAGUAA
rnacentral:rRNA from 1 species